AGGGAGUAUUUGUUUUGUUUAUCGAUUGGAUAUGGUGGUUGAUUCCAUGGGGUCAUUGGAUGAAGGGCCUUUGAAUCUGGACCUUGAGAUCGGAAUUAAAACGGCUGCUACAUUGGAUCAAUGACCGUCUUCAUCCCAAUCUCUCCUGCAUCAAAGAGUUGCUGAUGUAGCUGAUGGAUUGAAAGCUUGGGAGUUGCUAAAAGGAAAGCCUGAAAGGUUGAUCUGAUAUUGACAGAGGUUGAUCUACCUUCAAUCUCUGGAUACGCUCUUCUUACACUUAUCAUGGAACAUGAUACCUGCAAGAACAGUAUUGGUACCUCAGACCCGGUGGUUGAUUGUUUGCUCGAGACGGUGGUUAUCCCCGUUGAUCAUAUGGCACCAGAAGAAAAUGAGUCUUGGACGCAAGCAAACCAGGUGUCACAGACGAGAGAGUUUUGUAUGGUUGUGUGUCACAGCGAGUUUUGUAUGCUUGUGUUGUCACGAGAGUUUUGUCUAUUUAAGUUUUAUGAACCAAAGUUGUAUUCACAAAGUCCCAUUCUCCUCUUGUUCUUAAAUCACAAAGUUUCUUUCCCA